UUUGAGGCUUUAGAUAAGUUAUACUUAAUGCUAGUCCAUAGCUAAAAAUCCAAAACGGCAGCGACACUGAUUUUACAUUAGAAAACAUCAAAGAUGGAGGACACAGACUACAUUGACCAAUAGCAGAUCAGAAACAGGAGUGAAAUAAAGUUCAAACAGAGAUGACUCAACUCACUCCAAAACACCUGAAGGGAGGGGUUAGAAGGAGGAGAAGUUUGAACGACAGGCAGAGUUGAUUGGUUGAACAGUUGCCGCCCACGCAGGAUAAUUACUGAGCUUAAAAGAUCAACCAAUCAGAGAAGGGCAAAAACUGAAUCUAAGGAGAUGCUGACAGGCUGGUGGGUGUGGGUGGAGAAGAUCAGAGAAGGAACAGCAGAAGAAGAUCAGAGAAGAAGACAGUGAAAAGGAAAGAUCAAAGAGCAGAGAAAAGCAGCAGCAGCAGCAGGAGAAGAUUGCAGGCAACAGGCAGAAGGACUGAGAUGAUCCAGAGGGAUUGUAGAAGAAGUGUGAUUUUAUAUCUAUUUUAAAAGACUGACUGGUCUCGGCCUUCACAACAUCCUCUGGCAGAGUUCCACUGUAGGACUUUAUUUGAGGUUUCUGUAAUGUUCUAUCAUCGAGGAGUGUCCUGAGCUGUUCCACCUGCUCCAUCAGGUUCUUUGUUCCUCCUGCUAGACACCAUCUUCAGCAGUAGAAGGUCCAGAACCUAACGGCCGCUGCAA